ensembl:ncRNA lncRNA:CR45386 long non-coding RNA:CR45386
AUCUAAAAGUAAUAUCUAGAAUCUCAAUCAAUCUGUAUCUUUUUUUGAUGUUUACUUUAUAGGAUUUCAUUUUAAAGUAGAGCAAUCAAGAGUAGAAAUUCCUGCCACCCCCCUCCUCCUUUUUUUGCCAUCGUCAUCGUGGUUGUCAUCGCCCAUCCGUGCCAUCCUUCCCCAAUUGAUUCGUCGGAGGGGCCAACGAAGGUUAAUGCGAGCCAGUGUUUGACCUCCAGGGUCAAGCUGAAGGCAAAUUAAUUGCGAGAAUUGGGUGCGACAGCUAGAGAAAGCGCAGAGCUGCUGUAAUUGAUACAAGAACAAAAACGAGAAGCCAAAUUGCAGCCAAUUGAUCGAGUUAAGGGGCCGAUGCUCUCGAAGUUGGCACUUCCGUUGCGUUAU